rnacentral:lncRNA from 1 species
CUUGCUGUGAAAGACCUCGUAACUGCUUGGGACUCUUCUUAUCCCCCAUCACUCCAGAAGCACAAAUGAGAGGAAGGGGAGAAGGCCUCUGCCUUCUCCAAUGUGGAAGAUUGGUUGCUGAAACAGCCAUCAGUUAUUCUCCUCCCCGUAUCAAGCCUGCUUGCUGUGUAAUUUUCAAUGCUCUCCUCUCAUUCUGAGCCUAGCCAUGUGACUUGCU